UACGUCGGGUGCAAGCGUUGUCCGGAAUUAUUGGGCGUAAAGAGCUCGUAGGCGGUUUGUUGCGUCGGCUGUGAAAUCCCGAGGCUCAACCUCGGGUCUGCAGUCGAUACGAGCAAACUAGAGUGUUGCAGGGGAGACUGGAAUUCCUGGUGUAGCGGUGAAAUGCGCAGAUAUCAGGAGGAACACCAGUGGCGAAGGCGAGUCCCUGGACGAUUUCUGACACUGAGGCACGAAAGCUAGGGGAGCAAACAGG
rnacentral:rRNA from 1 species